CUUGCUCCUGGAUUCAGCGGCGGACGGGUGAGUAAUGCCUAGGAAUCUGCCUGGUAGUGGGGGAUAACGUCCGGAAACGGGCGCUAAUACCGCAUACGUCCUGAGGGAGAAAGUGGGGGAUCUUCGGACCUCACGCUAUCAGAUGAGCCUAGGUCGGAUUAGCUAGUUGGUGGGGUAAAGGCCUACCAAGGCGACGAUCCGUAACUGGUCUGAGAGGAUGAUCAGUCACACUGGAACUGAGACACGGUCCAGACUCCUACGGGAGGCAGCAGUGGGGAAUAUUGGACAAUGGGCGAAAGCCUGAUCCAGCCAUGCCGCGUGUGUGAAGAAGGUCUUCGGAUUGUAAAGCACUUUAAGUUGGGAGGAAGGGCAGUAAGUUAAUACCUUGCUGUUUUGACGUUACCAACAGAAUAAGCACCGGCUAACUUCGUGCCAGCAGCCGCGGUAAUACGAAGGGUGCAAGCGUUAAUCGGAAUUACUGGGCGUAAAGCGCGCGUAGGUGGUUCAGCAAGUUGGAUGUGAAAUCCCCGGGCUCAACCUGGGGAACUGCAUCC
rnacentral:rRNA from 1 species